AUUGAACGCUGGCGGCAUGCCUUACACAUGCAAGUCGAGCGGCAGCGGGAAAGUAGCUUGCUACUUUUGCCGGCGAGCGGCGGACGGGUGAGUAAUGCCUGGGAAAUUGCCCAGUCGAGGGGGAUAACAGUUGGAAACGACUGCUAAUACCGCAUACGCUCUACGGGGGAAAGCAGGGGACCUUCGGGCCUUGCGCGAUUGGAUAUGCCCAGGUGGGAUUAGCUAGUUGGUGAGGUAAUGGCUCACCAAGGCGACGAUCCCUAGCUGGUCUGUAAGGAUGAUCAGCCACACUGGAACUGAGACACGGUCCAGACUCCUACGGGAGGCAGCAGUGGAGAAUAUUGCACAAUGGGGGAAACCCUGAUGCAGCCAUGCCGCGUGUGUGAAGAAGGCCUUCGGGUUGUAAAGCACUUUCAGCGAGGAGGAAAGGUUGAUGCCUAAUACGCAUCAACUGUGACGUUACUCGCAGAAGAAGCACCGGCUAACUCCGUGCCAGCCGCCGCGGUAAGAC
rnacentral:rRNA from 1 species